AGGUUUUGAAUCCGUGCCAUGAUUUUGUCAGAUAUCAACCCAUGAUGACUGAUGAAACUUUUAAGAUAAGUAAAACC
rnacentral:pre_miRNA from 1 species